AGCCGCCCUUAAGAUAAGAUAUCCCACUUUAAAGUUAAGACCCCUCAAAGACUAUGAGGUUGAUAGGCUCAAAGUGUAAGCGUGGUGACACGUUCAGCUUGCGAGUACUAAUCGGUCGAGGGCUUUUCCUUU
rnacentral:rRNA from 1 species